UUUGAUCCUGCUCAGAUUGAACGCUGGCGGCAGGCCUAACACAUGCAAGUCGAGCGGAUGAAGGGAGCUUGCUCCUGGAUUCAGCGGCGGACGGGUGAGUAAUGCCUCAGGAAUCUGCCUGGUAGUGGGGGAUAACGUCCGGAAACGGGCGCUAAUACCGCAUACGUCCUGAGGGAGAAAGUGGGGGAUCUUCGGACCUCCACGCUAUCAGAUGAGCCUAGGUCGGAUUAGCUAGUUGGUGGGGUAAAGGCCUACCAAGGCGACGAUCCGUAACUGGUCUGAUAGGAUGAUCAGUCACACUGGAACUGAGACACGGUCCAGACUCCUACGGGAGGCAGCAGUGGGGAAUAUUGGACAAUGGGCGAAAGCCUGAUCCAGCCAUGCCGCGUGUGUGAAGAAGGUCUUCGGAUUGUAAAGCACUUUAAGUUGGGAGGAAGGGCAGUAAGUUAAUACCUUGCUGUUUUGACGUUACCAACAGAAUAAGCACCGGCUAACUUCGUGCCAGCAGCCGCGGUAAUACGAAGGGUGCAAGCGUUAAUCGGAAUUACUGGGCGUAAAGCGCGCGUAGGUGGUUCAACAAGUUGGAUGUGAAAUCCCCGGGCUCAACCUGGGAACUGCAUCCAAAACUACUGAGCUAGAGUACGGUAGAAGGUGGUGGAAUUUCCUGUGUAGCGGUGAAAUGCCUUAGAUAUAGGAAGGAACACCAGUGGCGAAGGCGACACCUGGACUGAUACUGACACUGAGGUGCCAAAGCCUGGGGAGCCAACAGGAUUAGAUACCCUGGUAGUCCACGCCGUAAACGAUGUCGACUAGCCGUUGGGAUCCUUGAGAUCUUAGUGGCGCAGCUAACGCGAUAAGUCGACCGCCUGGGGAGUACGGCCGCAAGGUUAAAACUCAAAUGAAUUGACGGGGGCCCGCACAAG
rnacentral:rRNA from 1 species